CGGGAAGAGCACAAAUUUAAAAUCUACCUGGUUUUCAGGUCGAGUUGUAAUUUGAAGAUACGUUUUUGAUGUUCCUGGUUGGACUAAAUCCUUUGGGAUAAGGUAUCAUAGAGGGUGAGAAUCCCGUGUAUACCAACCACAGGGAUGUUAUUUAAUAACGUUUCUAA
rnacentral:rRNA from 1 species